rnacentral:rRNA from 1 species
UACGUAGGGAGCGAGCGUUGUCCGGAUUCAUUGGGCGUAAAGAGCUCGUAGGCGGCUUGGUAAGUCGGAUGUGAAACCUCCAGGCUCAACCUGGAGUCGCCAUCCGAUACUGCCAUGGCUAGAGUCCGGUAGGGGCCCACGGAAUUCCUGGUGUAGCGGUGAAAUGCGCAGAUAUCAGGAGGAACACCGGUGGCGAAGGCGGUGGGCUGGGCCGGCACUGACGCUGAGGAGCGAAAGCUGGGGGGAGCAAACAGG